CAUAGGUACAGUUAGCUGCAAAAAGUAUGUAUCGAAAGAAUUGUACUUGGUACUACACUCUUAUUACGCUGCGGGCUUAGCAUGGUCUUAGUUAUCACGCGAUAUGGUGACAAUCUUGUUGUUAAAAUGACAGUUUUCUUCGAUUUUAUCGUUCACACUACGGUUGCAGACGAUAAUAGGAGUUAUCCACAUUUGACAGCGAUAGAUGACAAUCGACAAUUUGCAUAACAUGGUCGUCGGAUAAUUUGACACAUUAUCCCAUUUUGGCAGUUCAAUAUAGUUAAUUUUAUCUACGUGCUUCUUAGGUCACGACAAGCGUUGUCGUGGAUGCAAAGCUCAUGAAAAAACCUAUGUUAAGGUAUAAAUUAUCAGUAAGUAUCCGUUUUUCUAUGAUUUUAUUGAGUGUUAGUUAUUGAGUGUUAGUUAGUUAGUUAGUAGUGUAACUCCUCUGGAGUUGCAGGUGUACAUAGGCUACGGAGACUGCUUACCAUCAGGCGGGCCGUAUGCUUGUUUGCCACCGACGUAGCAAAAAAAAAAAGUUCCGCUGCAUAUAAUAUUGUCAAUAUUUUCUUUGCAGGGAUGUCGAGAUUUUUUUUCUUCCAGCUCGCAACUGCUGCAGAGGAAAAAGAAAGAAGAAGGAUUCAGCGACGAUCUUUGAGGGACGCUGGAAACCCCUUUGAUAUGCCGGACGAAGAGUUCCGUCAUAUAUACAGAGUACGAAAGGAGUUAGUGUUAUAUAUUUGUGAAGAACUCAACGCCGACCUCCAGCCUCACAAGGGUGAUGGAUUGCCAUCUCACCUUAAGGUAAAGCUAUAAUAUUGCAGUGUUGCUCAUAUAGUACCAAAAGUUUGUAUGUUAAGAUACCGCACAAUCACACAAAAUUAGCUGAUACAAAUAUUUGGGUGAAAUUGUUGUUUAUAACAUAACAGAGGUGCUACAUUAUACCUUAAAAUUUAAAUAUUUCUUAAGCGAAAAAAUUUACUUAAAUAAUUAAGCUGUGUACAACUACUUAAAUAAGAUUCUAACAGCAUUACAUCUGCUGGCUGAUGGCAAUUAUCAACACGGGACUGGUCAGGAUCAUGGUUUAUCUAUUGGUCAGACGACUGUAAGCCACAGUAUCUCGAACAAUUUGUAGAUGCUGUGAACAGAAGGUAUGUUUAUUGGACCACUGACCUACUAGGCAUCAAAAACUGUGAGAGUAUACUAGGGCUAUCUUAGUAGUUUUUACUUUUUUGAAUAAGCAUCAGUGUUGAUGUAUUGUGUAAUGAGAUAGGUAUUGUUUGAUAGUUAUGUUCAGGUAGUUAGUUACAUUGGAUACAUAAUCUGGAAUUGCAAUACUAGCUAGGUUUGACUAAGGUUAAGUUCUAAAACGUGCCAUCUAAAAUAUGCUCCUUUUUACAGACUUAAAGACCAAUGGAUAAUAGUUUUUCCUGGAACUGAUCGGUCCCGACGAUCAGUUGCCUCAGGAUUUGAGGAUGCAUAUGGUCUGCCAAAUAUCUUGGGUGCAGUAGACUGCACUCAAGUGAAAAUAUUUCCCACCUGUGCCACACGGAGUGCAAUAUCUGAAUCGGAAAGGCGUUCACGCUCUUAAUGUACAGCUAGUAAGUUUCAAUUUUAGUUACAAAUAAUGAUUUUUUUAUAUUAAUCAUAAAAUCCUCAUCACUGACCACAAUGUAUGUAUAUUAUAAUUAAAUAAAGAAAUAUAAAUACUAUGGGACAAUCUAACACAAAUCGACUAAGAUAAUGAUGUACCUAAUCUAGAUUGAUUAUAAUAAUUCAUUAAAAUAAUAACUUAUAUGUUACUACUUGGUUGUCACCAAUUCUCAAAUAAGAAUAUAAAUAACCUUAUAUCUUCAGAUUGCAGAUGUCAACUGUAAGAUCUUGGCAGUAAACACGAGGUUUCCUGGCCGUGUGCACGACUCUUUCAUAUUUAACAAUUCGUCCAUUUAGGAUGAAUUAAGAAGAUUGUACAAUGGCCACAUUGGGGAGUAUUUCCUUCUGGGUAAGCAGAAAAUUGUGUAUCUGUACCUAGUGUAAAUUUAUUCGAUGGGGAGACGUGACGUACGCGUUUGCGUUAACUGUCAUUUUGUAUGGAAUUUUGAGUUUCCAAAACAUCCCGCUUGGCGCGCUGUUUCUAAAUCCCUUAGCACCACUUGCACCAUUUCACUAACUCGGGGUUAACUGGUUAACCCUGGAGUUACCAUGUUACCAGUACAAUUUCACAUUGGGUUAACGGUUUAACCGGUUAACCCCGGGUUAUUGGAAUGGGGCAAGUGCAUGUUAGUAAAUGUACUAAGAUCACGACCACAGAAUAAAUAGUUCAUGACUAAGUUAAUAUACCUAUCAUAAUGUAAAUAACCGGCCAAGAGCAUGUCGGGCCACGCUCAGUGUAGGGUUCCGUAGUUACUCUUCCGUCACAAUAAGCUAAACUGGAGCUUAAAGUGUAGUAAAUGGUACCUUUCACCCGAGUUAAACAAAUAGGCAAAUUUGCAUAAUCAGUACCUAAUUAAAGAAGUCUUUUUACUAUGAAGGGAAAACUUUUUGCGAUAACUCAAAAACAGCUAAACUGAUCAUGUCCGCUAUAGUUUUCAUUUAAUGUCUUUCUUAAGCUCUACUUCCACGAUUUUUUUCAUAUUUUUUGGACCUAUGGUUCAAAAGUUAGAGGGGGGGGGGCACAUUUUUUUUUUCUUUCGGAGCGAUUAUCUCCGAAUAUAUUCACUUUAUCAAAAAAUGUUUCUUGAAAACCCCUAUUAGUUUUGAAAGACCUUUCCAACGAUACCCCACACUUUAGGGUUGAAGCGAAAAAAAAAAUUCACCCCCACUUUACGUGUAGGGGAGGUACCCUAAAAAAAAUUAAAAUUUUAGAUUUUAUUGUACGACUUUGUCGGCUUUAUUGAUUUAUAUAUCCAUGCCAAAUUUCAGCUUUCUAACACUAACGACCACGGAGCAAAGCCUCGGACAGACAGACAGACAGACAGACAGACGGACAUGGCGAAACUAUAAGGGUUCCGUUUUAUGCCAUUUGGCUACGGAACCCUAAAAAGGCAUAAGCAAGGGGGAAGUUUCGUUAGUUGUUCAGAUGAUUAAGUAUUAUGUAACCAAAAAAUAAUAAUUUCAGGUGACUCGGGGUAUGCUCUUGAGCCAUGGCUCAUGACGCCAGUGCUGAAUCCUGCCCCGGGAAGCCCAGAAGCAAGGUAGGUACACGGUCUGGCACUGUCGCGUGCGCAACACGAUCAAGCGUACCAAUGGGUACCUCAAAAACGUAUUCCGGUGCCUGGGCCACGACCGCGUCUUACACUACAGCCCGACGAAGGCAUCGUCAAUAAUAAAUGCAUGUUGCGUAGUAUACAACAUAAUGCAACAUUAUAGAAAUGUUCCCGAGGAAAUCGUAGGAGAUAUUGAUGAAGACGCUCCUCAAGAACUUCCUCAUCGUCAUGCGCAAAACGGACUACUAUUAAGAGUGGCGCAGGAAAAGCGUGCGCGUCUAAUAAAUACAUAUUUUGCUUA